GACGAACGCUGGCGGCGUGCUUAACACAUGCAAGUCGAACGGAAAGGCCCUGCUUUUGUUGGGUGCUCGAUUGGCGAACGGGUGAGUAACACGUGAGUAACCUCCCCCUGACUUUGGGAUAACUUCAGGAAACUGGGGCGAAUACCGGAUAGGAUCUUCUGCUGCAUGGUGGGGGUUGGAAAGUUUCGGCGGUUGGGGAUGGACUCGCGGCUUAUCAGCUUGUUUGUGGGGUAGUUGCUUACCAAGGCUUUGACGGGUAGCCUGCCUGGGAGGGUGAACGGCCACAUUGGGACUGAGAUACGGACCAGAAUCGUACGGGAGGCAGCAGUGGGGAAUCUUGCACAAUGGGCGGAAGCCUGAUGCGGCAACGCCGCGUGCGGGAUGCCGGCCUUCUGGUUGUAAACCGCUUUCGACUGUGACGAAGCGUGAGUGACGGUACUGAGUCAAGAAGCACCGGCUAACUACGUG
rnacentral:rRNA from 1 species